GGGGGGAGGCCGGAUCCCGUGCUGUGUCCUGGCGCCCUGUGCUCCUGGGACUGCGCUGUUGGAUUCGCGCUCCCGCCCCGCAGCCCCCU
rnacentral:pre_miRNA from 1 species